GAGUGGGGUGGAGCGCGCCUGCGUCUCGGCCCGCGGCCCGGGGCGGCGGCCGGAGCCGGGAGCGCCCGGUCCUCUCCCCGGGUGCCAGCCUCUGGGCCCACCCAGUGCCCCUACCCCUGUGCCACGGCCGGCUGGGGUUCCUGGGGAUGGGAUUUGCUGCCAAUCACAAAUCACAUUGCCAGGGAUUUCCAACCGACCCUGAGCUCUGCCUCCGGGGCCACCGUUGCUGCUGAGGAUGUCACCGGGGACAGGGUGUCAGAUGCCCUGCCACCACCUAUGCUGGCCUGAGGAGCAGGGCUUAGCUGCUUGUGAGCAGGAUCCACACCAAGUCGUGUUCACAGUGGCUAAGUUCCGCCCCCCGGGCUCCCACCUCCUCGGGGCCUGCCGCUGCCCGCUGCCCGGCUCCCUGGGCUCCGCCCCCCGUGCCUACUGAGCUGAAACACAGUUGGUUCGUGCACACUGGCUCAGUUCAGCAGGAACAGGGGUCAAGCCCCCUCGGAGUCCGCAGCCCCUGUGCCGCUGGGUCGGCCGCCCAAAGCUGAGGCCAGCCCCAGACCCAGGUGUGUCUGGAGAAGGGACGAGGAAAGCGGGGGUGGCCGGCCGAGCUGGCUGUCCUGUCUGCUGCAGGUCUCUUCUCCCUAGUCUGCCCUUUGGGGACCCUCCCAUGGCCACUGUGGGUUGGGCUGUGGUCCCGGGUGGACAUGGAGAUAGGUGGGUGGCCCUUCCAGAAAAAGGGAAGCCAGCUGUGUCCUCUCGGGUCUGGCACCCCAGCCCCUCCUCUCCUCAGCCUGCCCCUGUCCCAUCAACGAGGCAGUUACCCAAGAGGAAGCUGCUCGGCCCCUGACCGUUAAGUGCCAACUCCCAGCUUCCGGAACCCAGCUGGCCUGGCCUGGCCUGGCCGAGUGAGCCUGCCCUGCUCCCGGGGCCUGCAGACUCCUAAUUGUGGGGAUGAACAGUGACACCUGUGCCUGCCGGGAACGAGGGACAGGGAACAAGGUCCAGGUGGGCCCAGAAAGGACACAAGCAGGCUGACCUCCUCCUCGGUGGCCUUGAAGGUGGAACUUAAAGCCUAUCCUGAAAUCGGCUGGGAUGAGGGCCCCUUGGGCUGGGACCCAGAGGCUGAGGGGAGCCCCCAGGCCAUCAGCGCUGGACCAGGUCCUCUUUCCCAGCCCAGGGGCAGGCCGAAGCCUGGGGUAGGAGGGAGAGUUUGUGUUGUGCGUUGUGCAGUUAAUUAAAUAAAGUCACUAGCCUUGUCCUGAA